rnacentral:rRNA from 1 species
CUACGGUGAAUACGUUCCCGGACCUUGUACACACCGCCCGUCAAGCCACGGAAGCUGGGUGUACCUAAAGUCGGUAACCGCAAGGAGCCGCCUAGGGUAAAACUAGUAACUGGGGCU